rnacentral:rRNA from 1 species
UACAGAGGUCUCAAGCGUUGUUCGGAAUUACUGGGCGUAAAGCGCGUGUAGGCGGCAACGCAAGUCGGGCGUGAAAUCCCACGGCUCAACCGUGGAAGUGCACUCGAAACUGCGUAGCUAGAGUCCUGGAGAGGAAGGUGGAAUGCUUGGUGUAGAGGUGAAAUUCGUAGAUAUCAAGCGGAACACCGGUGGCGAAGGCGGCCUUCUGGACAGUGACUGACGCUGAGACGCGAAAGCGUGGGGAGCAAACAGG